rnacentral:rRNA from 1 species
AUCGAACGCUGGCGGCAUGCCUUACACAUGCAAGUCGAACGGCAGCACGGGAGCAAUCCUGGUGGCGAGUGGCGAACGGGUGAGUAAUAUAUCGGAACGUGCCCAGUCGUGGGGGAUAACGCAGCGAAAGCUGUGCUAAUACCGCAUACGAUCUAAGGAUGAAAGCGGGGGAUCGCAAGACCUCGCGCGAUUGGAGCGGCCGAUAUCAGAUUAGCUAGUUGGUGGGGUAAAGGCCCACCAAGGCGACGAUCUGUAGCUGGUCUGAGAGGACGACCAGCCACACUGGAACUGAGACACGGUCCAGACUCCUACGGGAGGCAGCAGUGGGGAAUUUUGGACAAUGGGCGCAAGCCUGAUCCAGCAAUGCCGCGUGCAGGAUGAAGGCCUUCGGGUUGUAAACUGCCUUUGUACGGAACGAAACGGCCCUUUCUAAUACAGGGGGCUAAUGACGGUACCGUAAGAAUAAGCACCGGCUAACUACGUGCCAGCCGCCGCGGUAACAC